GACAUUUGGUAGAGACUGUUGAGGCCACCUGGGCCCAGCAGACCCCAGAGAAAGGCCACAUUCGCUGGUGCUGGAAAAAGGUCGUUAAGAGUGAAGCCUGGUGCCAGAUGUGU
ensembl:rRNA 5S_rRNA 5S ribosomal RNA